AUUGAACGCUGGCGGCAUGCCUUACACAUGCAAGUCGAACGGCAGCGGGCUCUCGGUUGCUGGCGUGAUGGCGAGUGGCGAACAAGUGAGUGAUACAUCGGAGCGUGCGGUGGAGAAGGGGGUAAAAAGUUGGCUGAUUCCCUAAUCGAGCAUACGAUCUGAGGGGGGGAGCGGAGGACCGCGCGGGCUCGUGCUAUAGGAGCGGCGGAUGUCUGUUUGGCAGUUGGUGAGGUAACGGCUUACCAAGCCGACGACCUGUAGCUGGUCUGAGAGGACGAUCAGCCACACUGGGACUGAGACACGGCCCAGACUCCUACGGGAGGCAGCAGUGGGGAAUUUUGGACAAUGGGCGCAAGCCUGAUCCAGCCAUGCCGCGUGCAGGAUGAAGGCCUUCGGGUUGUAAACUGCUUUUGUACGGAAAGAAAAGCCUUCUUUUAAUACAGGGGGGUCAUGACGGUACCGGAAGAAUAAGCACCGGCUAACUACGUG
rnacentral:rRNA from 1 species